CCUCCCGCUUGGCUCCCUGAGCGGGGCCUGAAUCGUUGAUAUUUAGGCAUUGCCCCGGUCCGAAAGGCCGGGGUUUUUUCU
rnacentral:ncRNA from 1 species